rnacentral:misc_RNA from 1 species
AUUCGCUGAUGUUUUGGGGUUGGCAACCAAAAAGAUAAAUAGCUGUGGGUUUUCUCUUGCGAAGAUAUUCUGACCCAGGACAUCUGAACUAGCAGAAUGAAGUUAUUCUUGAUUUUCCUCCUGACUAGUUGCUUGGUGGUAGAAAACACCCAUGGUCUACCAGACCUGGCUGGAAUCAUUGCUGGCCUCAGUGGCAAAACAAUUGAGUUGCUGAAAAAAGUCACAGUACCACUUUUGGAUACACAGAUUGGUUUCCUGAGAACCCACAUUGAACAUUUGGUGUCGUUCUUCAAAGGAAGCGAAGGCGAUAUACCUGUUCCAGAGACCAGUUUUGUUCUUCAUUUUGUUGCUGACCGAUGCCACAUCAUUGGGAAACGUUUCUUGUUUGUUUGGCCAGCCCAAUGUACGGCUACAGCUACUGAGAAAGCGACUGGACUGAGUGCAACUUGUGAAGGGUUGAACCCUAAACUAGCCAUAGAAUGUGCGGUAUUGAAGGCAGUCAACUUGCUGAAGAGAGUUGCAGAGAAACUGGAGGAAACAACAUCAGAGUCAAGAAGAUUUUGACUUUUGCAAUGGGCUAACAUAUAGGAAUAUAUACUUUACAUACACAGAUACUCCGAAGCUUCAUGAAAUGUAAGGCCACUGUCACUGAGAAACAAACUGGUCUUGCUGGUACUUGUCAGAAGCAUUAUCAAAAGGAAGCUAUUCAGUGUGCAAUGUCAAAAACUGUUAAACUCCUUCGGGAACUGAUAAAGAAAAUCGAUGCAGGCACUUAAAACACGCACACACACACACACACACACAUAAGAUAUUAAUAUAUAAUUAUAUAC